rnacentral:rRNA from 1 species
CAUCAUGGCAGUGGAAACUGAAAGGCUUGAGUAUGGUAGGGGCAGAGGGAAUUCCCGGUGUAGCGGUGAAAUGCGUAGAUAUCGGGAAGAACACCAGUGGCGAAGGCGCUCUGCUGGGCCAUUACUGACGCUCAUGGACGAAAGCCAGGGGAGCGAAAGGGAUUAGAUACCCCUGUAGUCCUGGCCGUAAACGAUGAACACUAGGUGUCGGGGGAAUCGACCCCUUCGGUGUCGUAGCUAACGCGUUAAGUGUUCCGCCUGGGGAGUACGCACGCAAGUGUGAAACUCAAAGGAAUUGACGGGGGCCCGCACAAGCGGUGGAGUAUGUGGUUUAAUUCGAUGCAACGCGAAGAACCUUACCAGGGUUUGACAUCCUGCGAACCUCUUAGAAAUUUGAGGGUGCCUUCGGGAAUGCAGUGUCAGGUGGUGCAUGGCUGUCGUCAGCUCGUGUCGUGAGAUGUUGGGUUAAGUCCCGCAACGAGCGCAACCCACGUUUUUAGUUGCCAGCAUUUAGUUGGGCACUCUAGAAAGACCGCCGGUGAUAAACCGGAGGAAGGUGUGGAUGACGUCAAGUCAUCAUGCCCCUUACACCCUGGGCUACACACGUACUACAAUGCUACGGACAAAGGGCAGCAAACUCGCGAGAGCUAGCAAAUCCCAUAAACCGUGGCUCAGUUCAGAUCGUAGGCUGCAACUCGCCUACGUGAAGUAGGAAUCGCUAGUAAUCGCAGGUCAGCAUACUGCGGUGAAUACGUUCCCGGGCCUUGUACACACCGCCCGUCACACCAUGGAAGUUGGCCAUGCCCGAAGUCGUUACUCCAACCCUUGUGGAGGAGGACGCCGAAGGUGGGGCUAAUGACUGGGGUGAAGUCGUAACAAGGUAACCGUA